GUGGGGAAUAUUGGACAAUGGGCGCAAGCCUGAUCCAGCCAUGCCGCGUGAGUGAUGAAGGCCUUAGGGUUGUAAAGCUCUUUCACCGGUGAAGAUAAUGACGGUAACCGGAGAAGAAGCCCCGGCUAACUUCGUGCCAGCAGCCGCGGUAAUACGAAGGGGGCUAGCGUUGUUCGGAAUUACUGGGCGUAAAGCGCACGUAGGCUGAUAUUUAAGUCAGGGGUGAAAUCCAGGGGCUCAACCCCGGAACUGCCUUUGAUACUGGGUAUCUUGAGUAUGGAAGAGGUCAGUGGAAUUGCGAGUGUAGAGGUGAAAUUCGUAGAUAUUCGCAGGAACACCAGUGGCGAAGGCGGCUGACUGGUCCAUUACUGACGCUGAGGUGCGAAAGCGUGGGGAGCAAACAGGAUUAGAAACCCCAGUAGUCC
rnacentral:rRNA from 1 species